UUUGGAUUGGGAGAGAAAAGUCAGUGCAGCAGAAAUAAGGACCGUGGGCUCUGGGCCAUGUCUUGAUCUAAAGUUAUUUGUAUCUUCAGGGUGUGCUCUUGCCAUAUCAUGUGUAUAUCACUUUAAUUUCAAGAUGGAGUACUUCAGUGCACUCCCAACAUUAUGACUUACUUGGUCACAUGACACCCAGUUCAUGAUGAACAGCUCCAGUCACAUGGUAACUUGGUGGCCCAUGGUCAAAUAUUCAGUCUCUGGUAGGCCCCGUAGCAGGCCAAGUGAUGUUUCUCAAAAGUAGAUUAGACAUCUGCAGGUGAUAACAAGACCAUGCUCUAACAUCUUAAAACCCUGUCCUCUGCUUUCCAUAUUGGGACUGCCAAAGGCCCCAAAGAAAAUUUCUAUCUGCCUAUGAAACAUCUAAAAGAUUGAGUCCACCACAAUAUAUGGCCCAAGUGGCAGAGCAGCUUGCACAGCUGUCUGGAAUUGUUGCGGUGCCUUCUCUCAUUCUUACUGAGGGGAACACCAUGACAGUGGAUAAGGCAUUCUAAAACUCCAUGAAUGGUAGUAUUGGCAGAAGCAUUGCAUCAGAUCCAUCUGUCUUAUACACAGGCCAAAUAGAAGACUUGAAAAGGGAAUGAAUGUGUUCACAAUAAGCUUCAGGAAUGAAUGUUAUCUGAUGGCAUUACUUGAAAAGUUU
ensembl:lncRNA